ACAGACAGAGGUGGGGCUUUAGAUUUCCAGGGCUUAGGAGGGGAGAGAGGGAGAGAGGAUCCGCCAUGCUUGACAGUGUGUGGGCAGAGGAGAGACUCAGAAGCUGUGAUAGGGUAGAAAAGCAAGGAGAGUGCCCCGGGCUCUGGACUAAGAAACCGCCCCAGAGGGCAUCAGGAGUGGGUCUGGAGCGGCCAUGAUGGAAUAUAGAGCCAGUAAGUAAUAACUUGGGAUUAACAGCAUGGAGGUUCGGCAGUUACAGCUAUUGUGCUGUUUAAGGCGUAUUAAAAUAUAGAGGCUGUGUGUGUGUCUUUAAUUCAGGAACAUAAACCAUUGAGGCGGGUAGCAAACCCGCCGCCGGGAUUUAUUAAUUAUUUAAUUAUUUUAACACUGUGCCCCUAAAUUCCGUGGCAAGCCCCACCUCCCCGUUGACAAGGAAUAUUUCCAUGAGACUGUGGCAGAAAAUGCUCGAGGAGACUCAACCAGAAGCCAAAGAAAUCCCAGCUCUGGAGAGGUGCCCCCGCAGUGGAGAAAACUGCAUGUACCGAUCCAGUCAUCUGCAAAUUCAUGUGAUGGGGGCAGGGGAGGGACCAAGUCCUGGCCAGAUCCCUGCUGGCCUGCACUCCAGGAGCUUCUGCAGAGGUUGAAGCAGCCACUGGCCAUGAACCCACACCAUCACCCACCAGGCACCCAAGAACUGUGACCCUGCAAUUGGACCCGUACUAUCCUCCCAGGGACCAUUUCCUUCCCGCCACCGUGACCCGAGCUGAUGGAUGCCUGCUUCCUGCCCCUGUGGAAGAUGAGGGAGUGAUCCUGAGAGAGAAUAAGCACCAGUGGAUUCUGACACCAGAGAUGCUGUGACCUGAGCCAUUGGAUAUGUUUCCUGACUUGCACUGAAUCCCAUGCCUCACCUGCUUAUAGAGAAGGAAGGAUCUUGGAGAUUUCCUUCAGAACACCACAGGUUCAGGGUUCUCUCCCUGGGCUUCUGGUCUAGCUUCGGAUGCUGGUAAAGGAAGACGUUUUGGUUACAGGAAGGUUUAGAAAAGUCCUCAAGCUCCACAAGCUGCUGAGAUGGUACAGCAGGUAAAGGUGCUUACCCAGGGGUUGGGAGUUUAGCUCAGUGGUCGAGUGCUUGCCUAGUAAGCGCAAGGCCCUGGGUUCGGUCCCCAGCUCCGGAAAAAAAGAAAAAAAAAAAAGGUGCUUACCCAACUCAGCCAAGGUUACUAGGAACAGCCUGCUGUGAAUGUUGUUCUGUGCGGACCUGUGUCAACACUGGUCCUGGGUAAAUACUUAAGUGUGGAAUUUGUGUGUCCCAGGGCCAUCCCACGGUAAACGUCAUGAGAAACUGUGCAUCUCUUAGGACUGUAGCUUGACUGCUUGUAUCGUGUCUGGAGGAUUUGGAGAACAAAUACAAGGAGCACAAGCCCAUGGGAGCUUCCUGUCUUCCCCAGCUGCCCCUCUGCUUCUGGGAGAGGAGGGAGAGGUCACAGCAUCAGCCCCUGAGACUGGAGGAUGUGGUGCAGGGGUGUCUGCUGCCAAGUUUAAUGCAGGCUGGGCAGUGAAUCGUAGUUUAGUGACUGCAGCCCCAGUAAAGGACACACACACACACACACACACACACACACACACACACACACACACACAUUGCACUGACGUAAAUGAUGUAAACUGUUUGAAAUAAUCAUGAUACUCCUUAUUAUCUGUGCCACAAACCUAACUGAUUUUUGCAAGAUAUUUUCCUAGGCUCUGCCCCCUUCUCCCACAAUAGCUACAAUCAACUUGAAUGCAAACCUCCUUGAAUGUUGGCAGCUAACUUUGUUUAUAUGGGAGGGUAAAGCAACAGUGCGACCAUGAGGACAUCAUUUCACAGCUUCACACAUCAGCCAGUGGCUCGUGCCUGUAACUGUGAGAAACAUGUUGUAUUUCAUAGCCAGCUUGGGAAAAUCCUGGAUAUGUUACGUGUAGCUUCAGGAAGGUAUGGACCAGAUCCGCCCAGCAGUGACUUGGAGAGGACCUUCAUCCUGCCUGUGCCCAGUUAGCUGGGACCACAUACCACUGGGGCAUCCGAUCUCAGCAGAACAGCAGCACACAGUGACCAAAGCCAUGAGACCCAGAGCUGCACUUUCUGAGCCUCAAGACCGGUUGGUGUGGUGAUAAAGUCGAAGUAUGUUUAUGCGUGGUAAGCAGUUGCCUUUCUGUUGCUGAGACAAGACACCAUGACCAAGGCAACUUUCAGAAGAGUUUACUCUAGCUCAUGGUUCCGGAGGCUUAGAAUCCAUGGCAGUGUAGACACCACAGCAGGACGCAGCAGGCUGGGUAGCAGGAGCAGGAUGCUGAGAACAGCUUGACCUGCAGAAGCAGAGGGAGAACCGGAAGUAAAGGCUCUUCAUCUCGAAUCCGUCCCCACGUGACAUGCUUCCUCUAGCAAGGCCACACCUCCUAUGUCCCCCAAAACAGUGCCACCAACCGGGGGCCAAGUGUUCAAGUAGCUGAGACUGUGGGGUACACUCUCAUUUAACUCAGCACAGGUAUAUGCACGGAUGCACAUUUGUAAUUAAAACAGAGAUGAUCCUUAGUGUGGCUAGCAAUUACGCUGCGUGUAUUAGCUCCUAUAGCUCCAAUUGCAGCCUGUUUCCUGCCCCCAAGAGUGAGGCCUGAGAGGUCGGAUGCCUUGUCCUCUGCCUAUAUCCCAGGCACGGUACAUAGAGCUUAAUAUCCAACAAACGUGUUGAAUUAAAUGGAGCUACAAGUAAAUACCGAGGGCUAUCGGCAUGAUUAAACGGGAAUGUGUGCUCGCUCACAGAUCACCUGGUUAUCAUAUCAUUAAUUAUUGCAAUAAAUAAUUUUAACACUUUGUUGAAAUACAGUUCGCGUAGCAUUUCUUGAAAUAAAAUUCACCCAUUUAAAGCCUG
rnacentral:sRNA from 1 species